rnacentral:rRNA from 1 species
CAGCAGCCGCGGUAAUACGAAGGGUGCAAGCGUUACUCGGAAUUACUGGGCGUAAAGCGUGUGUAGGUGGUUGUUUAAGUCUGUCGUGAAAGCCCUGGGCUCAACCUGGGAAUUGCGAUGGAUACUGGGCGACUAGAGUGCGGUAGAGGAUAGUGGAAUUUCCGGUGUAGCAGUGAAAUGCGUAGAGAUCGGAAGGAACAUCUGUGGCGAAGGCGACUAUCUGGGCCAACACUGACACUGAGACACGAAAGCGCGGGGAGCAAACAGGAUUAGAUACCCGCGUAGUCCCUGUCUCUUAUAC